GGAAGUAUGACUCAUCGAUUAUUUUUCGAUUCAUUGUGGAAGAAGGAACGUAUAAUGAAGUUUAUUUUGAUCUCUGAUAAGGAAAACUGAAUUUAUUUUGAUCUCUGAUAAGGAAAACUCCUCCAAAAAUAGUAGGCUGUGAUAAUGCCGAAGUACCUGUGCGAUGAUUUUCUCUUCCAGUCACGCGACGUAGCGGACGAGUACCGUGUUGCGUAACGGCCUUUCUUGUUGUUUAUGUGCCGAUAACCAAGCAUUU